UCACGUCUUACGACGGCAGUUUCACUAGAGUUCCCAGCGUUACCUGAUGGCAACUAGUGAUGGGGGUUGCGCUCGUUGCGGGACUUAACCCAGCACCUCACGACACGAGCUGACGACAGCCAUGCACCACCUGUGCACGAGCCCCGAAGGGCUGCCGUGUUUCCACGACAUUCCCGUGCAUGUCAAGCCUUGGUAAGGUUCUUCGCGUUGCAUCGAAUUGAGCCACAUACUCCACCGCUUGUGCAGGCCCCCGUCAAUUUCUUUGAGUUUUAAUCUUGCGACCGUACUCCCCAGGCGGCACGUUUAACGCGUUAGCUUCGCCACAAAAGGGGUUGAUUCCUCUUACAGCAAACGUGCACCGUUUACGGCUAGGACUAC
rnacentral:misc_RNA from 1 species